rnacentral:rRNA from 1 species
AUUGAACGCUGGCGGCAGGCCUAACACAUGCAAGUCGAACGGUAGCACAGAGAGCUUGCUCUCGGGUGACGAGUGGCGGACGGGUGAGUAAUGUCUGGGAAACUGCCCGAUGGAGGGAGAUAACUACUGGAAACGGUAGCUAAUACCGCAUACCGUCGCAAGACCAAAGUGGGGGACCUUCGGGCCUCACACCAUCGGAUGUGCUCAGAUGGGAUUAGCUAGUAGGUGGGGUAAUGGCUCACCUAGGCGACGAUCCCUAGCUGGUCUGAGAGGAUGACCAGCCACACUGGAACUGAGACACGGUCCAGACUCCUACGGGAGGCAGCAGUGGGGAAUAUUGCACAAUGGGCGCAAGCCUGAUGCAGCCAUGCCGCGUGUAUGAAGAAGGCCUUCGGGUUGUAAAGUACUUUCAGCGGGGAGGAAGGCGGUGAAGUUAAUAGCUUCACCGAUUGACGUUACCCGCAGAAGAAGCACCGGCUAACUCCGUGCCAGCAGCCGCCGUAA